rnacentral:rRNA from 1 species
UACGUAGGGUGCAAGCGUUGUCCGGAAUUAUUGGGCGUAAAGAGCGUGUAGGCGGUUAUACAGGUCCGCUGUGAAAACUGGAGGCUUAACCUCCAGACGUCGGUGGAAACCGUAUGACUAGAGUCCGGAAGAGGAGAGUGGAAUUCCUGGUGUAGCGGUGAAAUGCGCAGAUAUCAGGAAGAACACCCGUGGCGAAGGCGGCUCUCUGGGACGGUACUGACGCUGAGACGCGAAAGCGUGGGGAGCGAACAGG